GGUAAUUAUGCAUGGUGCAGAGAGGUUCAGACACAGUGGGCCCUUGGGAAGAUAUUUUCCGCUUUGAAUCUCACUGAAACCCACAGAGUGGGCUGUGCUAGCUUGGAGGAGGAAGAGAAGAAGGGGAGAAAGAAGAGGAGGAGGACAGAGGCGCAGGCGGCUCCUCCCUUGCCCUGGCCAGUCUGUGGUGUGCCUGGGUGGCUGGCCCUUUCUUGGAGCAUUUGGGGUCCCAACAGGCUGUGCAGAAUUCCAGGGUGGCCCGCAGGUUUCCACCUCCGGGUGUGAAGGCUCUUAAGACGCACUGGUGACUGCCGUGAGCUCCAGGCCCCCUGCCCUCGCCUGCUUCUGGUGCAGACCGCCAUUUCAGAUUCUUCAUCUCUGAGUCGGCAGGUGCCACCGUGACUCUUCCGCUCCUGAUCCUGCCAGCCACCUCCUAAGUCCCAUGUAUGAGCAUAUAUGUAUUUACAUCGCAUCUGUUCCUGCAGAGAAUCCUGACUAAUACACUCUAACAGCAGGUGCAUCUGGGCAUCAGCCUCCCGCUGUGCUCCAGCCCACUCCGGCCCCAGGAGCUGCAGACACAGAUGGAGCAGCCUGGUGGUGAGCACCGGCAGGAGCAGUCUGGACUGAAGCUGCAAGUCCAUCUCCCACUGCGAGCCAGAUCUGAGCGUUAGUGUCGCCACACAGAGCAAGUCCUGUCCUCCUCCAUUUCCUUCACCUCAGACCAUCUGGCAGCACCAACCUGUGUGCCCACAUCCAAUCAAAAUCCAUUUGCCUCCACUGAGGGGAGGAGGGGAGGGGGCGGGGCAGAGAGGGGAGGAGAGCGGAGAGGACAAGACAGGACACGUUUACUGAGCCAGGCGCUUUACUUUAAUUCCAUUCGCACCCUGAAUGGUGCACGCGGUGGGUCUCUGGAGCCCAGACCUCUUCUGCAGAGACUCCAGACACCAUGCGUCUCAGUCUGGCUCUGCUGUUAUAGCUGCACUCCCGAGAUAGGGCUGAUAAGCAGCGAGGCCCAUUUGGCUCCGCCUGGGGGCUGAGUCCAAGACCGAGGGUCCCUUGAGGCUCCGGCAUGUGCAGUGCCCGCCUGCUGCUGUGGAAGACCUGCAGGAGGCAAGGCUGGCCUCAGCCCAGUCAUGGACAGCUGGCAUCAUGGGUGCCUGAGGUGGGCAUCCUGCCCCGCCCCUUCCCCCGGCCCUCCCCCAGCCCAUGCUCUUGGGGACCCAGUCACUCCAAGGUACACCCUGGAACCUCUGCCCUCCUGGGUUACCUGGGCCCUCAGCCCCCUCCCCCAGGCCUUGGCCCCGGUCCCCAGGGCUUCGUGGGCCUGGUACCGCCAGAAGUCAGCGUCUCCAGCUGGCGGUCCCGCCAUCCAGAGGCGGAGUGUACGCUCAUUAAGCUGUGGGUGGGUGAUGAGCUCUCACUGCUCACGAGGCUUCUCCGGGUCUUUAACAUUCAACUGUUGUUUGUGGAGGCUGAGACGCAGCACCUGGUGCACCCUGAAAGAGCUCGCAGAAGAGGGUGGGAGCAGAGAUGGCAGAGCAUGGUCCAGCCAGGGCGACUGGAUUGUGACCACCAGGCCGAGGCAGUCAACUCCUGCCCCACCGGCCUGCCUCCCCAACCCCUCCGAGCCCAAGGCACAUGCUGUUCUUCAGUGAUAGUCAGAUAAUCCAGCGACACGCGGGAUUCUCCACUCUUCCGCAAAGACUCAGGGCCUUCGCAGCCUCAGCUCUCGGGUCUGCAGCGGAGCUGCUCUGAGGGUGAGAGCCCUCUCCAGGUGCCCGAGAUCUCCACAGGUGCCUGUGGGGUGCAGAGCAGACCCGUGGAGGGGGAAACAACCCCCCACAGCGAAUGGUCCAAGGCUGUCUCCUCGUCUGGUCAGGAGACCCUUGAUUUCUUCCCUCCCGACUGUCCUGGGCCCAGCAUGCUGCUCCUGGAUGGCUCCCCUCCAGUGUCCCCAGGCCCGCGUGCCCCUCCAGACCUCCCCUACUGCUGCGGGCCUUCCUGCUGGGCCCAGCCCUUCCCUGCUCCCACAGUAGAAUGAGCCUGCGAGUACCCUCAUCAGGGGCAGGUCUGGCCCUCGCUCUCCUGUGCUGUGAGCCUUCCCCUCUUGGUGGCCCACAAGCUGGCAUGGACAGUGCUGUCCUGUUCCUCUGUCCCCUCUACCCUUGUCCUGGCCCCAGGGCCUUUGCACCUGUGUUCCUCUGCCAGGAGCCCCGUCCCCUCUCCCUCCUGCUCUCUCUAGGGCUCCUGAGUUCCUGGGCUGGGUGGGAUCACCGGGCUGUGUCCUGCUCCAUGGAGCACCUGAAUCCUCAGUGUCCCCGGGGCCUGCUUGUCUUCCCGCUGUGCGGCCAGAUCCCUGUGCCUUUGUGUGCUGGGCACUGUGGGGCUUGUGGCACACAGCAGGUGCUUAGCAGACAUCUGCAGAACGAAGAGGGAAGCUCUGAACCACUAGUCCUGUGGACCAGAGAGCAGAGGUGUGGACGGGAGGGCCCCCCGCUGUGAUCCUGCAGGACCCAGUCCAGGCCUGAAGAGGCCAGAGCCACGGCAGCUGCUCGUGGGACAGGAGGACCUCCGCUCCCCUCAGGGUCACUGUCCAUCACCCGCACAUACGGGCCGCUGCUGUUCUCAGCUCGUGCCAGGAAGUGGACAGCUAGGCUCCCACCACGUGAUUUGCGAGAGUCCCACAUUUAUCACACAGCUGCUCAGCUGCUCAUUUGCAGGGCCUGGAAGACAGUCUCCAAAGUGGGUCAUCUGAUCGGUGAGACUGCUACCGCCUAUCGGGAAGCAGCUGUCCGUCAAGAUAAACGCCUGUCACACCAAAGCGUGGAGAAGCAGACUGGGCCAGUCGGUGCUCCCACACCCGAGGGAGUGUGGAGAGUGACUGUGAUGUGGGUGCCAGCCCAGCUCUUGUCCUUUUAGUAGACCCUCGGGGCAGCAUAAUCGAUGGUGUCUCCGGCACAGCCACUGCAGUGUGGGCUGUCACGGAAGGCCCCCUCCACCCCCGUGUUUCCUUGCUAAUAUUAAUUUCUUUCUCUCUC